rnacentral:rRNA from 1 species
UACAGAGGGCUCAAGCGUUGUUCGGAUUCAUUGGGCGUAAAGGGUGUGUAGGCGGCGCCGUAAGUCGGGCGUGAAAUUUCGGAGCUUAACUCCGAAACUGCAUUCGAUACUGCGGUGCUUGAGGACUGGAGAGGAGACUGGAAUUCAUGGUGUAGCAGUGAAAUGCGUAGAGAUCAUGAGGAAGACCAGUGGCGAAGGCGGGUCUCUGGACAGUUCCUGACACUGAGGCACGAAGGCCAGGGGAGCAAACGGG